rnacentral:rRNA from 2 species
UACGGAGGGUGCAAGCGUUGUCCGGAUUUAUUGGGUUUAAAGGGUGCGUAGGUGGCCUUGUAAGUCCGUGGUGAAAGCCUCUCGCUUAACGAGAGAACUGCCAUGGAUACUGCAAGGCUUGAGUCCAGACGAGGUUGGCGGAAUGGAUGGUGUAGCGGUGAAAUGCAUAGAUACCAUCCAGAACCCCGAUUGCGUAGGCAGCUGACUAGGCUGGUACUGACACUGAGGCACGAAAGCGUGGGGAGCGAACAGG